rnacentral:rRNA from 1 species
GAUGAACGCUGGCGGCGUGCUUAACACAUGCAAGUCGAACGGAAAGGCCCAAGCUUGCUUGGGUACUCGAGUGGCGAACGGGUGAGUAACACGUGGGUGAUCUGCCCUGCACUUCGGGAUAAGCCUGGGAAACUGGGUCUAAUACCGGAUAGGACGAUGGUUUGGAUGCCAUUGUGGAAAGUUUUUUCGGUGUGGGAUGAGCUCGCGGCCUAUCAGCUUGUUGGUGGGGUAUUGGCCUACCAAGGCGUCGACGGGUAGCCGGCCUGAGAGGGUGUACGGCCACAUUGGGCCUGAGAUACGGCCUAGACUCCUACGGGAGGCAGCAGUGGGGAAUAUUGCACAAUGGGCGCAAGCCUGAUGCAGCGACGCCGCGUGGGGGAUGACGGCCUUCGGGUUGUAAACUCCUUUCGCUAGGGACGAAGCGUUUUUGUGACGGUACCUGGAGAAGAAGCACCGGCUAACUACGUG